rnacentral:rRNA from 1 species
GAUGAACGCUAGCGGCAGGCCUAACACAUGCAAGUCGAGGGGCAGCACAGAAACAGCAAUGUUUUGGUGGCGACCGGCGGACGGGUGCGUAACGCGUAUGCAACCUACCUUUAAAAGGGGGAUAACGGAGAGAAAUUUCCACUAAUACCCCAUAACAUCGAUCAAGGAAUCUUGAUUGGUUGAAAAAUCCGGUGGUCAAAGAUGGGCAUGCGUUGUAUUAGGUAGUUGGUGAGGUAAUGGCUCACCAAGCCUACGAUACAUAGGGGGACUGAGAGGUUAGCCCCCCACACUGGUACUGAGACACGGACCAGACUCCUACGGGAGGCAGCAGUGAGGAAUAUUGGUCAAUGGGGGCAACCCUGAACCAGCCAUGCCGCGUGCAGGAAGACGGCUCUAUGAGUUGUAAACUGCUUUUAAACAGGGAUAAAGCACAGUAUGUAUACUGUGUUGAAGGUACUGUAAGAAUAAGGAUCGGCUAACUCCGUGCCAGCCGCCGCAGUAA